rnacentral:rRNA from 1 species
AUUGAACGCUGGCGGCAGGCCUAACACAUGCAAGUCGAACGAGUGGCGGACGGGUGAGUAAUGUCUGGGAAACUGCCUGAUGGAGGGGGAUAACUACUGGAAACGGUAGCUAAUACCGCAUACCAUCGGAUGUGCACAGAUGGGAUUAGCUAGUAGGUGGGGUACAGGCUCACCUAGGCGACGAUCCCUAGAUGGUCUGAGAGGAUGACCAUCCACACUGGACCUGAGACACGGUCCAGACGCCGACGGGACGCCGCAGUGGGGAGUAUUGCAGACUGGGCGCAAGCCUGAUGCAGCCAUGCCGCGUGUAGGAAGAAGGCCUUCGGGUGGUAAAGGACUUUCAGCUGGGAGUCGUUACCCGCAGAAGAAUCCCCGGCUAACUCCGUGCCAGGAGCCGCGGUAAUAC